rnacentral:rRNA from 1 species
UACGAAGGGGGCUAGCGUUGCUCGGAAUUACUGGGCGUAAAGCGCACGUAGGCGGUUUGUUAAGUCAGGGGUGAAAUCCCAGAGCUCAACUCUGGAACUGCCUUUGAUACUGGCAAGCUAGAGUCCGGAAGAGGUAAGUGGAACUCCUAGUGUAGAGGUGGAAUUCGUAGAUAUUAGGAAGAACACCAGUGGCGAAGGCGGCUUACUGGUCCGGAACUGACGCUGAGGUGCGAAAGCGUGGGGAGCAAACAGG